rfam:Fistulifera solaris DNA, contig: scaffold00061, strain: JPCC DA0580.
GCAGCAUUGGUGUAAUGGUAACAUACGACGUUGCCAUCGUCGUGCCCCGAGUUCGAUUCUCGGAUGCUGCA